rnacentral:rRNA from 1 species
AUUGAACGCUGGCGGCAGGCCUAACACAUGCAAGUCGAACGAGUGGCGGACGGGUGAGUAAUGUCUGGGGAUCUGCCUGAUGGAGGGGGAUAACUACUGGACACGGUCGCUAAUACCGCAUACCAUCAGAUGAACCCAUAUGGGAUUAGCUUGUAGGGGAGGUAACGGCUCACCUAGGCGACGAUCCCUAGCUGGUCUGAGAGGAUGAUCAGGCACACUGUGACUGAGACACGGCCCAGAAUCCUAAGGGAGGCAGCAGUGGGGAAUAGUGCAAAAUGGGCGCAAGUCUGAAGCAGCAAUGCCGAGUGUAUGAAGAAGGCGUGCGGGUUGUAAAGUAGUUUCAGUCGGGAGGCUUUACCGACAGAAUAAGCACCGGAUAAAGCCGUGCGUGCAGCCGCGGUAAUAC